rnacentral:lncRNA from 1 species
ACACACACACACACACACACCAAGGCAGCCCGCCCCGCCAACCACAUCUCCCCGCUGCCCGCCAGCCCCGUCCCGUCACCCUACAGCCAACGUGGCGUCGAACUGAUAAGCUUUGUCCCUGAAGUCAUCCAGCGCUUCUUCCAGCAGGGCUACAAAUACACAGAGAGAGGUUCGGAUUGGAAGGAUUGGGGUAGGAAAGUAGGACGUUGUAAGGAACAAGAUCAGCUGAGUCGAAUCCUGCUGCUUCGAAACGCUUCCGAAUCAUCUCCGCUAGAUAGUCGUCUUGCUCGCUGCCCGCCAGCUCCUCACCUGACCAUGUGCUGCUGUUCCUCCGUGACUCCCCUCGUGCCCAGGUGUCCAAUGAUGCCCCCCACCAGGAGCCCCACACACGCCGCCGCCGCCACGCCCGCCACCAGUGCCUUGGACACCGCCAUCCUGAAGGUGAAGGAUUGCAUUAGUAAACAAAGGAUUUAACUUCAUAGCUGGUGCACAUUGCUACAAAGAGACGACUCCAUUGCAACUCAGGCUUUACCCUUGACAAAACUGGCAAUUUUAUUCAACAUCUGGAUUUAGCAAGACCAGGCUGCACUACAACAACACGAAGGAAGCGUCUGUAGUUAUGGCAGCUCCGUCCGAGGCCGCCCCGCCGUCCAUGGAUUCCAUUGAGCUAUCCCUGUCAAGUUUUCCGCCUUUCUCGCAGUCUCAGAUGUUACGCAGCUCCCCUGACUAGCCACACAGGAUUUAAAUGAGAGACUAAUAUCUCUCUCUCUCUCUCUCUCUCUCUCUCUCUCUCUCUCUCUCUCUCUCUCUCUCUCUCUCUCUCGUGUGUGUGUGUAGGGAAACGUUCAUGAAAUUUUGUAAUGAAGAAAAGGUAAAAUGAUUGAACAGUAAGAUGGACAGAUUCUCAGUUUUUCUGUGAACUUUGUGUCUGUCAAAGAUGAAAGUGGUCAAUCUGUGUGUUAUUUUAUCUCUUCGUGGAGGCAUCUCUGUCUGAGGAGGAAGGAGAGAUGAGUGGCUGACUUGUAUUUAUUUGUUAGGUGUUGGUGAGUGA